rnacentral:rRNA from 1 species
AUUGAACGCUGGCGGCAUGCCUUACACAUGCAAGUCGCACGGUAACAGGUCUUCGGCUGCUGACGAGUGGCGAACGGUUGCGUAAUACACCGGAACGUGCCCGAUCGUGGGGGCUAACGCAGCUACAGCAUGGCUAAUACGUCAUCCGAUCUCCGGGUGAUAUCAGGGGACCCCAAGGCCAUUCCCGCCCGCCCCGGCCGAUGGCCGAGUCGGUAGUUGGUGGGAUGAAAGCCCACCAAGCCGACGCUCUGUACCUGGUCUGAGAGGACGACCAGCCACCCUGGGACUGUGACACGGCCCAGACUCCUACGGGAGGCAGCAGUGGGGAACUUUGGACCAUGGGGGAGAGCCUGAUCCAGCCGUGCCGCGUGCAGGAUGAAGGCCUCCGGGUUGUCAACUGCUUUUGUGUGGAGCGAACAGCCUCCUUCUAAUACCGAGGGUCCAUGCCGGUACCGGAAGACUAAGCACCGGCUAACUACGUG